AGGUUUUCGUGAACUGCAACCUAAAUAUUCAUUUAACAUUGGAACGUUCCAUUAAAAUAAUUUAUAACAUAAUUUCUUCUUAGAAACGCAUUUUGACAGAGUUCUUUUCAAAGGCUUUGGUUGAGCUUGGCAAUGCUAGCAGCUUUGCUUUCAAAUCCAUAAUUCUUAAUUAUUAAAAUACUCUCUACACACUUUUCUUGGAUUCCAGUGAGGCACAUCAAAGCAGGGGGCCCUCUUUGCUUUGGCUUCUUGCACACCAUGUCAGCUGAGGAGGAAGAAAGCAUAACACAGCUCUGGAGACAGCCCAAGCUUGAGAUAAAAUAAUCAUCAAAGGAGUGCUGGCAUGAACAGAGGAAAAAUUCAAGGCUCAGACAUGCUCUAAUGUAGUGAGCUGUGACACAAAUUGGGCUGUGCCUGGUUUGCCUUUCUUCUCUCUCUGUGCUUCCAAUUGGACUGCCAAAGAAAUGCUUCUGGCUUUGUUUCAUACCAUCUUCUGAGACAAAGGAGCUUUAUAAAGGAAAAAGACUUGAAAGGGUUAAAAUUUCA